rnacentral:rRNA from 1 species
AUUGAACGCUGGCGGCAUGCCUUACACAUGCAAGUCGAACGGCAGCAUGGAGAGCUUGCUCUCUGAUGGCGAGUGGCGAACGGGUGAGUAAUGCAUCGGAACGUACCGUGUAAUGGGGGAGUAACGUAGCGAAAGUUACGCUAAUACCGCAUACGACCUGAGGGUGAAAGCAGGGAGUCGCAAGACCUUGCGUUAUACGAGCGGCCGAUGUCAGAUUAGCUAGUUGGUGAGGUAAAGGCUCACCAAGGCGACGAUCUGUAGCGGGUCUGAGAGGAUGAUCCGCCACACUGGGACUGAGACACGGCCCAGACUCCUACGGGAGGCAGCAGUGGGGGAA